GGCUGUGCUCCAGAGCAUUCAUGGGGGUGUGGGGACUGGACACUUUGGGGUCACAAAAACCCUCCGCCGCCUCUGUCAGGGCUUUUACUGGGGGCAGCACAAGAGGGAUGUGGAGGACUUUUGCCGCCGAUGUGACAAAUGCACAGCGGCGGCAAAAGCCCUCUAGGCCGUACUCAUGCUCAGCAGGAGGUGGAGUUUUGGACAGCGGAGCGGCAUGCCAUGAGGACCUUGGGCGGGUGCUUGUCCCAGUCACGCUGGUGUUUGGCAGAGACGAUGGCCAGCUGCUGUCCAAGCAUUUUGUUGAAGGGAGUGGAAAGACCGCUGGGUGCUCAUGGCCAUUGACUAUUUCACAAAAUGGCCCGAAGCCAAUGCUCUGCCUGACCAGGAGGCAGAGACCAUUGUCAACAACCUUGACAGCGGGGAUGUUCAGCAGGUUUGGAGCUGCGGAGUCCAUCCACAGUGACCAAGGAAGAGUCUUGUGUGUUCAGAUUUUAUUAGACACAUGCACCGAAUACAACAGGUGUAGACCUCACAGUGAAAUGCUUCCUUUGAGCCCCCAACCAACAAUGCAGUUUAAAAAAAUACGGAUAAGAAUAAGAGAUAAAAGUAACAAGUAAUUAAAGAGCAACAGUAAAACAACAAUAGCAAGACUAUAUACAGGGGGUACCGGUACAGAGUCAAUGUGCGGAGGCACCGGUUAUUUGAGGUAAUAUGUACAUCUAGGUAGAGUUAUUGAAGUAACUAUGCAUAGAUGACAACAACAGAGAGUAGCGGCAGUGUAAAGAGGGGGAGGGGGGGAAUGCAAUAGUCCAUUUGAUUAGAUGUUCAGGAGUCUUAUGGCUUGGGGGUAGAAGCUGUUUAGAAGCCUCUUGAACCUAGACUUGGCGCUCCGGUACCGCUUGCCGUGCGAUAGCAGAGAGAACAGUCUAUGACUAGGGUGACUGGAGUCUUCUGACAAUUUUUAGGGCCUUCCUCGGACACCGCUUGGUAGAGGUCCUGGAUGGCAGGAAGCUUCGCCCCAGUGAUGUACUGGGCCGUACGCACUACCCUCUGUAUCGCCUUGCGGUCAGAGGCCGAGCAGUUGCCAUAACAGGCAGUGAUGCAACCAGUCAGGAUGCUCUCGAUGGUGCAGCUGUAGAACCUUUUGAGGAUCUGAGGACCCAUGCCAAAUCUUUUCUGUCUCCUGAGGGGGAAUAGGCUUUGUCGUGCCCUCUUCACGACUGUCUUGGUGUGUUUGGACCAUUCUAGUUUUCCUAGCCACCGUGCUUCUACACCUGCAUUGCUUGCUGUUUGGGGUUUUAGGCAGGGUUUCUGUACAGCACUUUGAGAUAUCAGCUGAUGUAAGAAGGGCUAUAUAAAUACAUUUGAUUUGAUUUAGUUUGUUGUUGAUGUGGACACCAAGGAACUUGAAGCUCUCAACAUGCUCCACUACAGCCCAGUCGAUGAGAAUAGGGGCGUGCAAGCUAAUAACGUUAGUAUUUUGGACAACCAAAGUCAAAAUGAUUGAUGAAAUCGAAGUGUGUCAGCUAUAUGGUGAUUUGCGACUCAUUACUUCCAUUUUACCGAUACUGCCAGUAGUAGUAGGCCAACCGAUAACACCAAGACUGAAUGAGUUUGAAGUGGAUGCGCUGCCGAGAACAGCUAGCAUGUCCAGCAAUGUACAUCGCCAGUGGCACACACACACUUCAUGCAGAUCAGCAGCUCUACAAUGAUGUGAUCGACUGUCUCCCAGGUGGGGGCUUUUCGUGGCAGCCAGACGAGACAAUAGAAGGAGGAUGUGGUGAGCAAAGUUACCAGGGGCAGAGCCAGAGGGGUGUCCGGGGUGACACAGACAUCUGACGUGCCACACCGACAUUUCAUUCGCUACUGGCAGGUUGAUGCUGAUUGACAUCUUAUUUCACCUCUUAUUGAAAGAAGCAUUUAUUUUGACGUUUGGCGGCGCAUUUUUGAAAUCGAGGACGAGGAAGAGAGAAUAUUAACGUUAGCUGCGAGAUACAGAAAAAUAAAAAGAACAUACAGAAGAGAGAAUAUUUCCACAGCUCCACAAGCUCUUUUUACGAUUGGCGAAAGCAUCAUAUUUGAAGGUCAAUUAAAAAUGAAAAGAAAUGGAGAGAUAGACUUAUUUUUAAAGAAGCACAAAGAGGCAGAUCAGUUGCAAACAGACCCCAGCCCUUGUCUCACCACCGGACUCCAGAGAAGCUCCCUACCUGAGGGUAGUCAGAGUCAGUGUGGUCAGACAUCACAAGGACCCAUUCUACCACCACCAGGUCAGAGCAUCUGUAACCGAUGUGAAAAGGCUAGUUAGUUAGCGGUGGUGCGCGCUAAUAGCGUUUCAAUUGGUGACGUCACUCGCUCUGCGACCUUAAGUACUUGUUCUCCUUGUGCUGCAAGGGCCGCGGCUUUUGUGGCGCGAUGUGUAACGGUGCUUCGUGGGUGUCAGUUGUUGAUGUGCGCAGAGGGUCCCUGGUUCAAGCCCAGGUUGGGGCGAGGAGAGGGAUGGACGCUAUACUGUUACACAUCUACCAGGUAGUCAGUCACAUGCCCAGUUCAGAAUUUAAGUUUAGCUUCAGUUUGUAAUAGAUGAUUUUGUCAGAUUAAGCAUCACUUUAAAAUGUUGGCUCUUGAUUCAUGUGUACUUAUUUUGAUGGCUGUGGCAUUUUUAUUGUGAUUCUACACUAAUGGUUCUUGUGUUAUUGUAAUGUAAUAGAUGUAUCAAGGGAUGACACAGAGACCUCUGAGCAAGACAGUGAGCCAGAGCUGCCAGGAGAUGUCAUCGACCCCCUUCCAACUGCAUCAAGCACCAGAUAUGCUGUUCCAAAAGGACCCAAUGACAUUUCAAGAUCCAGAGAAGAGGGUCCUGUACAGCCGUGUUUGAAAACAUUUCCCAGAACUCAGCAUGGUACUAGGAAAGGGGCUUUCAACAGCUCCUGGUUUAAGGACAAUUCAUGGCUUGAAAAUUCUGUAAGUCAAGAUUCAACAUAUUGUUUCGCCUGUAGACAUUUUUCUCUGCCCAAUACACCUGAUUCUGCCUUCACAUCACAGUCAGGUUUUUGUAACUGGAAAAGGGUGCUGUUUAAAGAUUCUGGGUUAAAGCUCCAUUCGAAGGCAGAGCAUCAUAUCAAUGCUAUGUAUGCUUGGAAUCAGCAUAAAAGGGCUAUUGACAGCAACUUAUCAAUGUUAGAUGUCAUAAAUGAGGACCGGAAAAAGGAGGAAAACUGUACUUACAUUAAAACAAUUACAGAUGUGCUCCUGUUAACUGCCACUCAAAAUACAGCGCAGAGAGGUUAUUGAGAGUCUGAUGACUCUCACAACAAGGGUCAUUUUUUUGACAAUCUUAGAAGGAAUAGCAAAGAAUGACCCUCUCAUAGAGAAAAGGAUGAAUGCAUAUGGCAAUGCUAAGUACACAAGCCACCAAAUCCAGAAUGAAGUUCUUGAGGGCUUAGCUGAGAUGGUACAUCGUGAAAUAAUAAGACAAGUAAAAGAAAUGGAAGUUUUUAGUGUAAUUGCAGAUGAAACCAAAGAUUGAAAGAACAAAUGUCUUUAGUUGUGAGGUACUAUUACAACGGAACCAUCCACGAAAGCUUUCUACACUUUCAGUCAGCUGAAAGCUUAGAUGCAGCAGGCCUCAAAAAUUAUAAUUGAUUGCCUUGAAAAACAUGGUCUGGACUACAGAAAUAAUCUUGUGGGGCAAGGCUAUGACGGUGCAUCCGUCAUGAGCGGAAAGCAUUCUGGUGUGUCUGCAUGGAUUAAAAACAGUGCAAGAUUUGCAUUUUAUGUGCACUGUAAUGCACAUUGUUUGAAUUUGGUUCUUGUCGAUGCUGUAAAAUCAGUGCCUGAGGCAGUUAACUUUUUUGCUCUCCGGCAGAAGCUUUAGAACUUUGUAUUUGGCUCGUACGUUCAUCUCAAGUGGCUUGCAGUUCAGAAAGAGCAGUAUCCACAGCAGCAGCCCAGGGAACUACAGAGAUUUACGGAUGUAAGGUGGGCAUGCAUGACGUAAUCUGAGGGACAGGCUUCCAGCAGUUCUGAGAGUGCUAUAGAAUAUCACACUUGAAAAUAGUGGUGAUAGAUCAGUGGAGGCAAGGGGACCUUCUUUCUCAGAUAGAUUUACAUUUCAUAGGGCUUUUGGUUACCUUCUGUCAAGUGCUUGGUGAUGCCAAAUGUCUUUCUGACAUGCUCCAAUCAAGCUCUUUUGACCAAGCAAGGGCUGUGGAUCUAGUAGGUGCCCUUACAGACACAUUACAGGACUACAGAAGUGAGGGUUACUUUGGAGAAGUAUGGAAAGAGGUUGAAGAGAUUGCAGAGCACUGCAAAAUAAGUGUACAAACAGUGUGUAAAAGACAGCCUAAAACAAGCUUAAGAUUUCACGACUCAUUGAUGAUGAGCACUGUAGGACAGAAAAAUUGUGACCAAAGUGAUGGUGAGAGCUUCCAAAGAGCUAUCUUUUAUCAGGUGCUUGACAGUCUCACAGCUGAGGUGCAGAGGCGUUUUCAAAGAAGAAUUGCAACAUAAUGCAAGGGGUCCAGUCUCUCAACCCAAAGAGUACAACAUUCUUCAAUGAGGAGACUCUGUUUGCCUUUGCUCAGACCUUUGAGUCAGAUUUAGAGGACCUCAAACAUGAGGUUCAUCAAACCAAGCGGCUUCUUGAUAGGACAGAGAAAAGUGGAAGGGACAGACCGUCUACUCUCUUUGACUUUUUUGUGUUUCUAGAACCUUAUAAAGAGGUCUUCCAUGAGCUAUUUCGACUUUGUAAGGUUUCUGUUGUUACAUCAGUCAGCAGUGCUUCUUGCGAGAGAAGCUUCUCAGCUUUAAUACUGAUUAAAACCCACCUUAGGACAACAAUGGUUGAUGACAGAUUAAGUCACCUUGGAAUUCUCAGUGUUGAGUCAAGGAGGGCACGCUCCCUCGACAUGGAUGAGUUUGUGAAACAUUUUGCCAGGACUCACCAGAAAUUACCUAGGAUAAUUUGGCACUUAGGCGGUCCCGCUGGUCAUGAUUAAAACCUGCACUGUGUACUAGCUAGUACACUGACAUUCUAAAAUGAUACAUCCAAAGGGUAUCAUGUCACACAGAUUUCAUUUGGUCUUGAUUAGGCCAAUUCCAAAACUUUCCUUUGCUAUUAGUUAGCAUAAUAUAUAUGAGCAUAAAUAUGAUACUGUAAGUUUAAUAUUGAUGGGCACCAAAAUAAUUUGUAUUUUUCCAAGUCCAUUUAUGCUUAAUACCUGGAAUGUCAAAUUGCAGUGUGUUUUAUUUGUAAAUGUACUUUUUUUGUAAAUAAACUAUGCAAUUUAUG
rnacentral:lncRNA from 1 species